rnacentral:lncRNA from 1 species
AUGUCUAGAAAACUGCUCAACACAUUACAGGAAUUCAAGAAAGAAGUUUGUCAAAUGAAGGAACUUUCUAACAUUCUGAACCAACUAACGACGGGCAUGGACCACUUGGUGGUAGUGAGCUCCCUGCCAUUGGUGGUAUUUAAGCAGUAGUUGGAUGACACUCGGAGGGUGCAUUAGAGAGACAAACUCAGGAGGUACGGUUCAAGCUUAGGGCAAACACAGAUCCUUCCCAGGGUCUCUGACCAUUCAGGGUCCCCUUCUCUGCUACCAUCUUGCCCUGAGACCCUGGGGGACGCCUUUCUUCUGAGCCCCAGUCUCUCAACAGUUCUAGAAAACAAAAGGUGGCAGCAUCUAUUUGGCUGAGCCACCCAGAAGGAAAAGGCUGUGGAAGGAAAGACCAAUAUUUAUUCAUUAUCAUAUUCCGAAAUUAGACUGGGGAGCCACAAAUAGACAUUUCUAACAAGAGCCCGUCUGUCCCUGCCUCUCAGGCUCAUCCUGCACACUCCUCAUUCAUGUCACGUCUUGCUGCCUCCCGCACUGGGGGUUUGGCUUGAAUAUUUGCCAGCCACUCGGUUAUUUUCUGGGGUGAUUCAUGGGAAGGUGGGACGUCCAGCUGCGGUUGGAAUGUUCUUUUAAAACAGCAUGUGCUGCUCCCAACGGGGCCGCAUCUGAGCAAGGCACAGGGCUGCUCUCCUCUGGGGUUGGGCGUGCAGGGGUGGGGAGGAGCCAAAGCAUGUGCCACUGACUGGAAGGGGCCCCAUCAAAGCCCGGGCUUCACCAGGGAGCAGUCUGUCUGUUUUGUGCACUGCCACAGGUGCUCCACUCCUAGCACCAGCAUUCAUGCACCCAUUGUUUCUCCAUCUUUAUUUUAUUUUAUUUUAUUAUUUUUUGAGAUGGGGUCUCACUUUGUUGCCCAGGCUGGAGUGCAGUGGUCCAAUCACAGCUCACUGCUGCCUGGAAUUCCUGGGACUACAGGCAUGUAACACCACACCAGGCUAAUUUUUACAAUUUUUGUAGAAACAGGGGUCUCAUUAUGUUGCCCAGACUUGUCUUAAACUCCUGGUCUCAAGCAAUCCUUCCCGCCUCAGCCUCCUGAAGUUCUAGUAUUACAGGUGAGAGCCACUGUACCCUGAUUGUUCCUCCAUCUUCAAAAGCAGUCUUGAUCUCUACUCCUGCCCUCCGCUUUCAUGUUUGUUUGUUUGUUUUUAAUGGAGUCUCGCUCUGUAGCCCAGGCUGGAGCGCAGUGGCACGAUCUUGGCUCACUGCAACCUCAGCCUCCUGGGUUCAAGCGAUUCUCCUGCCUCAGCCUCCCGAGUAGCUGGAAUUACAGGCAUGUGCCACCACGCCUGGCUAUUUUUGUAUUUUUAGUAGAGACGGCGUUUCACCAUGUUGUCCAGGCUGGUCUCAAACUCCUGACCUCAGGUGAUCUGCCCGCCUCAGCCUCCCAAAGUGCUGGGAUUACAGGUGUGAGCCACGGCGCUCGGCCACUUCCGUGUUUCUUUCCCCCUCUGGAUAGCAAAGCUCUUUGUAGGAGCGAAACUCCUCUCCGUCUUUCUUGAACACCCCCCUCCAGCACACUCUUGACCUCAUGGAUUCCCUGAGGCUUAAUGAAGUCAGCAGUGACCCCCAACCCAAAACCCAGGGUCGGCUGGCAGACAUCGGCUGUCUGAGCCACCCACUGAGUCUGACUCUGCUGGCUAGUCUCUCUCUCCUUGCUGGCCUCUCCUCACCUGGCUGCCAGGACUCUGCUGCUCUCAGCCUCGCUCCCACCUUCUGGUAGUUCCUCCUCACUCCCUUGCUGGCUCUUUUUUGUGAACUUGACCUUGAACAUGUUGGCACAUUCUGGAGCUCAGUCCUUACUGUACCUUGUUUUAUUACCCUCUCAUUCCCUUACUGAUCUCAUCCUGCCUUGGGCUUUUAAAUGCCCUCCAGAUUCCAAUGACUCCCAUGUACGCCUCCAGCCUGGACCUCUGUCCUGACUCCUGACCUCCAACCAGGUUUUCAACGUGGAUGUCAAAGAUACCUCUGCUCACAUCCAACACGUCCAACACUGAACUCCUCAUCUCCUCCCACCUCCCUGUCUGGGUUGGUGGCUGCCCUGUCUUCCCCAUGGCUUGGGCCAGGAGCCUGUGUUUGUUCAUGGUUCCUUUUUCUCCUGCACCCUACAUCCAAUCUGUCAGGAAAUUGUCGUUCCAUUGCCCCAGCGCAUCCGGGAUCUGAUGGCUUCUCUCCACCCGGCCCCGUUUCCAUCCUAGUGCAAGCCACCUUCAUCCUCGCCUCUGCAGUCUGCUCUCAGCACUGCAGUCAGAAGAAGCCUUUACAACGAUGUGGCCAAGGAGAGUGAUGGAAUGACAAAAGGGCCAGGGAGAACAAGGAACAAGGGACUUCUUCCUAGAGAAGCUUAAUGAAGAAACCUUCUCUAACGAGGGUAUGAGCUUUCACAAUGUCUACUCAGAAGGAUUUCAGAAUUGUUACCCCUACCUGUCUUCAUUCUCUCCGUUUAAAAGUGUUUAUUGCAGUUGUCCUAACCCUACUUCAUCAUUGAAUAUCGGGUCUAUAUAGGAGGCAAGUAAUAUGUCUCUUCUAGUUUAUAACUCUCCAGACCAAGAAGAAGCAGGUGUAGACCUGAUGGAGGGCACUAGGCAGUUCACUUGAAGACCCUCAAUUUCUUUUUGUUUCUUUCUUUUUUCUUUUUCUUUUUUUUUCUUUAGAGAUGGGGUUUCAUAAUAUUGGUCAGACUGGUCUCAAACUCCUGACAUCAGGUGAUCCACCUGCCUCAGUCUCCCAAAGUUGUUGGGAUUACAGACAUAAGCCACUGUGCAGAGCCUAAGAAUAUUUCAAAAUUGUUACCCCUAUCUGUCUUCAUUCUCUCCAUUUAAAAGUGAAAGUAUUUAUUGCAGUUGUCCUAACCCUACUCCAUCAUUAAAUAUUGGGUCUGUAUAGGAGGAAAGGAAUAUGUCUCUUCUAGUUUAGAAAUCUCCAGACCAAGAAGAAGCAGGUAUAGACCUGAUGGAGAGCACUAGGCAGUUCACUUGAAGACCCUCAAUUUCUUUCUUUCUUUUUUUUUUUUUUUAGAGAUGAGGUUUCACCAUAUUGGUCAGGCUGGUCUCAAAUUCCUGACCUCAGGUGAUCCACCUGCCUUGGUCUCCCAAAGUGUUGGGAUUACAGACAUGAGCCACGGUGCCUAGCUUAAGAAGACCCUCAAUUUCAAGCUGGAUUUGCUGACAAUUUCAAGUGAGGUUUUCUCUCUUGAGAAAGUGAGAGUAUGUUCUACAUAUGGGAAAAACAAUGACCAGAGGGGCGCACAGGAAGAUUACACUUCCUACUACCUGGUAGUUAGGUGGGGCCAUGUGACUAGUUCUAGCAAAUGAAAUGUGAGUGGAAAUGCCAUGUACCACUUCUGGGCCAAAGUUUAAAAGUUGAUGUGUUUCCCUAACACUCUGUCUUUCAUCAUGGUGACCUUGGAGGCCACCAGUGAGGUGAUGGUGGACAGGAUGAAGGAUGCCUAGAACUAAAGGAGUUUUCACCAACCCACAUUAGAUUUUGCAUGAAUGAGAUAACAUAUUGCUUUCUCUGUCUCUUUUGUUUUUUUCUUUUUUUUGUUUUUGUUUUUGAGUUGGAGCUUCGCUAUUGUUCCCCAGGCUGAAGUGCAAUGUGCCUCACCACAACUUCUGCCUCCCGGGUUCAAGUGAUUCUCCUGCCUCAGCCACCCGAGUAGCUGGGAUUACAGGCAUGCACCACCACGCCUGGAUAAUUUUUUAUUUUUAGUAGAGACAGGGUUUCUCCUUGUUGGUCAGGUUGGUCUCGAACUCAUGACCUCAGGUGAUCCGACCGCCUCAGCCUCCCAAACUGCUGGGAUUACAUAUUUCUUAAUGUUUAGCUACUGGGAAUAAUUUAUGUUAGAUUAUUUUAGGUUUUCUACCUAUAUGAUCAUAUCAUCUGUGAAAGGUGAUGUUUGAAAAUUUCUUCCUUUUUGAUCCUUAUACCUUUUUUUUCUUGUUUGUGUCUUGCUGUACUGCCUGGGACUUCAUAGUCAAUGCUGGGUAGCAGUGAUGACAGCUGGGACCAUGGGCUUGCUUCUUACAGGAAAGGAAAGCUUUCCGUAUUUCAAGUAUUGAGACAA